UGGCUCUACUUAUGGAGUACCCAACGGACAAAGAGCUCCAACAAAUGGAAUGGAAGUUCAAAAUGGCCGCGGCAUCGGAAGGAUGUUGAUGCCUUCUAAAGGUGUGGGCGGGCCUUCAGGGGCUCAGAACGGACAGGGAAGGGAGCCAAUCAAAGGGGC